rnacentral:rRNA from 1 species
AUAACGGGAGGGCUAGCGUUGCUCGGAAUCACUGGGCGUAAAGCGCACGUAGGCGGCUUUUUUAAGUCAGGGGUGAAAUCCUGGAGCUCAACUCCAGAACUGCCUUUGAUACUGAGAAGCUUGAGUCCGGGAGAGGUGAGUGGAACUGCGAGUGUAGAGGUGAAAUUCGUAGAUAUUCGCAAGAACACCAGUGGCGAAGGCGGCUCACUGGCCCGGUACUGACGCUGAGGUGCGAAAGCGUGGGGAGCAAACAGG